rnacentral:Y_RNA from 1 species
GGUUGGUCUGAGUGAAGGUGUUUACAACUAAUUGAUCACAACCAGUUACAGAUUUCUUUGUUCCUUCUCCACUCCCACCGCUUCACAUUACUACAAA